AACCGAGUUAACUCUUCAUUAAUCCUAAGCGUGUUAAAUGCUUGAUAUCCGGUUUAUCUGGAUACUUACCGAGUGGUUUUGCCACUCUGUUUGACGCCUCCCUGUUAAACUCCUGAGAGCCGCCUUUGCGGCUCUUUUUUU
rfam:Paramesorhizobium deserti strain A-3-E Scaffold4, whole genome shotgun sequence.